UUUUUCAGCCCACCAGCGACUAGAACCAGCAACUCUGUCAGGGAUUGUGGCAUUUAUCCUUAGUCUUUUAUGUGGAGCUCUGAAUUUAAUUCGAGGCUUUCAUGCCAUUGAAAGCCUCCUGCAGAGUGAUGGUGAGGACUUUAGUUACAUGAUUGCAUUUUUCCUUGGGACAGCGGCCUGCCUUUACCAGUGUUAUUUACUUGUGUACUACACCAGCUGGCGGAAUGUCAAAUCAUUCCUGACUUUUGGCUUAAUCUGUCUUUGCAACAUGUAUCUCUACGAACUGCGCAACCUCUGGCAGCUUUUCUUUCAUGUGACUGUGGGAGCAUUUGUCACACUGCAGAUCUGGCUGAGGCAAGCCCAAGGCAAGGCUCCUGACCAUGACGUCUGACUUCUCCCUGCAGAUGAUUUGCCUUUGCCUUCAGGGGAGAAAGGAGAGGACAUAAUUAACUGCCACUGUGAUGAAGAAACCAGUCACAACACAUGAGAAGCUCUGCUUUCCUUCUCUGCCCAUCUUCCCCUUUUGUUUUACAAAUCAGCCUGGCAUGCCUGCGAGUGUGAGACCUGGUAAGAAAACUCCCACAAGGAUCCUGCAGUGGAACGCAGGCGCAUCACAGUAGAAGUUCAGCAUCACCUGAAGACUGACUGGCAGGCAGCACUGAAUCCUCACUAGAGAGCUAAGCAAAGCUUGGUUGUGGGACCAUGCUCUGAGGACCAAGCCGAAAUGCUACCACCUGAGUUUGCCUUUGUGAGGCAUUAGUGUAGACCAAUGAAGAAGAUGCUGCAGGAAUUGGGAAGCUACCCUCUAAAACAGCCACUGUGCUAAGUUUCAGAUUAUUUGCACAAUUAUAGUACCAAGAGUUUAUGAAGUCUAGAAAUGGCAUGAAAUUUGUUUUUUUACUCUUUGUUUCUGCCACCUUCUAACUCUGGAGGCCACCUGGUGUGGAGAGGGCUGUGAUGCGCAUCUCCAUAACAUCACAAGUCCUGACAACAGUGAUGGCGUGUUUCCUUUCUAGACCAUGUUUAUCAUUUCUUUUGAAAUCACUAAAAAUACAUGAUUCAUUGAC
rnacentral:lncRNA from 1 species